rnacentral:rRNA from 1 species
UACGUAGGGUGCGAGCGUUAAUCGGAAUUACUGGGCGUAAAGCGUGCGCAGGCGGUUCGCCAAGUCAGGUGUGAAAUCCCCGGGCUUAACCUGGGAAUUGCGUUGGAGACUGCAAGGCUGGAGUCUGGCAGAGGGGGGUAGAAUUCCACGUGUAGCAGUGAAGUGCGUAGAGAUGUGGAGGAACACCGAUGGCGAAGGCAGCCCCCUGGAUCAAGACUGACGCUCAUGCACGAAAGCGUGGGGAGCAAACAGG